GGCAUAUUGGGUCCUCGUUGCAUAAAUUGCUUCGGUAUUCUCUGAUGAAAGCAACUACAAAAAUGGAAAGUGUUAUUUACUCAGAAGAAAGGAACUGCCACAUAGAUGGACCCCAGGUCUGAUCCAAAGUCCAGUAUCUUUUCUCUGACAACGGCCACCACCAGAUACUUCAGAAGAAGAUACAAGAUACCCCACAGAAGGUGUCCCAAAAGGGUCAGUUCAGCGAUAGACUGAAGGAGGCUAGCCCAUGGAAGAUUCUAAGUGACCCACAUUAAAAUUCUGUUACCAAAUUGAAUGGCAGGUUAGAAUGAUUUCUCUGUCUCCACUGGACUUAACCCCAACCUCUGCAAACUGCUAGAUCUGACAAAAAUAUCCCAAAACCCAUUGGCCUGUGAUCAGGUCCAGCAAAUCCAUCACAUCCAGGAAGAACUCAAGGAACACCUAGCGGAGGCAAAGGAGGCCUACAAACAACAUGUGGACCGCAAGAGACAGAAGAGGCUGGAAUUCAAGACAGGUCACUCAAAAUACACUGCAUUUCUGUGAAGGGCUUCUGAAGAGAGAACACAUUUCCAAGCUGAAUGCAACCACUCUGACACCUACCCAGGUCCAGGUCCAUGAAGACCCCAUGAUCAAGCAGGACAGUGGAAAAGGGGGGAAAAACAGUGAAAGCUGAUUUCAGCCUGAGGAAGAAAACUGGAAAAUAGAAUGUUGAAGGUUUAAUUUUUUUUUUUACCUGAUCAUUGCCAACACAUUCCAGUAGCCUUUAAGCAGAAAUGCAGAAUGUGUGAUUAAACAGAAAUAUUUUGAAAAGUCUACACCCAGAAGUUGAUUUACUGUCUUCCUGAUACGCUGGUAUUCUGACUGCUUAGCACAUU